rnacentral:rRNA from 1 species
AAUCAACGCUGGCGGCGUGCCUCAGACAUGCAAGUCGAACGCGAAAGUCUCCUUCGGGAGGCAAGUAGAGUGGCGCACGGGUGAGUAACACGUAGGUAAUCUACCUUUGGAUGGGGAAUAACAACCGGAAACGGUUGCUAAUACCGCAUAAUGCAGCGGCACCUAAUGGUGACAGUUGUUAAAGCGGGGGAGUCGAAAGACCUCGCGCCUGAAGAGGAGCCUGCGGCGGAUUAGCUAGUUGGUAAGGUAAUGGCUUACCAAGGCUACGAUCCGUAACCGGCCUGAGAGGGCGGUCGGUCACACUGACACUGACAUACGGGUCAGACUCCUACGGGAGGCAGCAGUCGGGAAUUUUGGGUCGAAUAGGGC